UACGGGGGGGGCAAGCGUUGUUCGGAAUUACUGGGCGUAAAGGGUUCGUAGGUGGCCCGCUAAGUCAGACGUGAAAUCCCUCAGCUCAACUGGGGAACUGCGUCUGAGACUGGCAGGCUCGAGUGCAGGAGAGGAACGCGGAAUUCCAGGUGUAGCGGUGAAAUGCGUAGAUAUCUGGAGGAACACCGGUGGCGAAGGCGGCGUUCUGGACUGUUACUGACACUGAGGAACGAAAGCCAGGGGAGCAAACGGG
rnacentral:rRNA from 1 species